GUCCCGGUAGCUCAGCUGGAUAGAGCGGCGGUUUCCUAAACCGCAGGCCGGCAGUUCGAAUCUGCCCCGGGACG
rnacentral:tRNA from 4 species